rnacentral:rRNA from 1 species
CCCUCCGGCCGGGGACAACACUCCGAAAGGGGUGCUAAUACCGGAUACGAAGUCUGUGCCGCAUGGUACGGAUUUGAAAGAUGGCCUCUACAUGUAAGCUAUCGCCGGGGGAUGGGCCUGCGUCCGAUUAGCUGGUUGGUGGGGUAACGGCCUACCAAGGCGACGAUCGGUAGCCGGUCUGAGAGGAUGAACGGCCACAUUGGGACUGAGACACGGCCCAGACUCCUACGGGAGGCAGCAGUGGGGAAUCUUCCGCAAUGGGCGCAAGCCUGACGGAGCAACGCCGCGUGAGUGAGGAAGUUCUUCGGAACGUAAAGCUCUGUUGUUCCUGACGAACCUCCCUUCUAUCAACAACGGAAGGGACUGACGGUAGGGAACGAGGAAGCCACGGCUAACUACGUGCCAGCAGCAGC